ACCUUCGUGGUGUAGUGGUGAGCAGGCUCGACCGUAACCGAGAGGUCCUUGGUUAGAUUCCCGGCGAGGGUA
rnacentral:tRNA from 1 species